rnacentral:rRNA from 1 species
UACGAAGGGUGCUAGCGUUGUUCGGAAUUACUGGGCGUAAAGGGCGCGUAGGCGGCGACUCUAGUCAGAUGUGAAAGUCCUGGGCUUAACCUGGGGACUGCAUUUGAUACUGGGUUGCUUGAAUUCGGGAGAGGAUAGCGGAAUUCCCAGUGUAGAGGUGAAAUUCGUAGAUAUUGGGAAGAACACCGGUGGCGAAGGCGGCAUUCUGGACCGAUAUUGACGCUGAGGAGCGAAAGCCAGGGGAGCAAACGGG